AGCAGCCGCGGUAAUUCCAGCUCCAAUAGCGUAUAUUAAAGUUGUUGCAGUUAAAAAGCUCGUAGUUGAAUUUCGGGGUCAGUAGGUUGGUCAUGCCACUGGUAUGUACUGGUCUCACUGAUUCCUCCUUCCUGAUGAACUGUAAUGCCAUUAAUUUGGUGUUGCAGGGAAUCUGGACUGUUACUUUGAAAAAAUUAGAGUGUUUAAAGCAGGCUAACGCUUGAAUACAUUAGCAUGGAAUAAUGAAAUAGGACGUUCGAUCCUAUUUUGUUGGUUUCUAGGAUUGACGUAAUGAUUAAUAGGGAUAGUUGGGGGCAUUAGUAUUCAAUUGUCAGAGGUGAAAUUCUUGGAUUUAUUGAAGACUAACUACUGCGAAAGCAUUUGCCAAGGAUGUUUUCAUUAAUCAAGAACGAAAGUUAGGGGAUCGAAGACGAUCAGAUACCGUCGUAG
rnacentral:rRNA from 1 species